rnacentral:rRNA from 1 species
UACGUAGGGGGCAAGCGUUGUCCGGAUUUAUUGGGCGUAAAGAGCGUGUAGGCGGCCAUACAGGUCAGCUGUGAAAACUCGAGGCUCAACCUCGAGACGUCGGUUGAAACCGUAUGGCUAGAGUCCGGAAGGGGCGAGUGGAAUUCCUGGUGUAGCGGUGAAAUGCGCAGAUAUCAGGAGGAACACCAAUGGCGAAGGCAGCUCGCUGGGACGUGACUGACGCUGAGACGCGAAAGCGUGGGGAGCAAACAGG